rnacentral:rRNA from 1 species
UACAGAGGGUGCGAGUGUUGUUCGGAAUUAUUGGGCGUAAAGAGCUCGUAGGCGGUUUGUUGCGUCGGCUGUGAAAUCCCGAGGCUCAACCUCGGGUCUGCAGUCGAUACGAGCAAACUAGAGUGUUGCAGGGGAGACUGGAAUUCCUGGUGUAGCGGUGAAAUGCGCAGAUAUCAGGAGGAACACCGGUGGCGAAGGCGGGUCUCUGGGCAACAACUGACGCUGAGGAGCGAAAGCGUGGGGAGCGAACAGG